rnacentral:rRNA from 1 species
UAGGGAAUCUUCCGCAAUGGACGAAAGUCUGACGGAGCAACGCCGCGUGAGUGAAGAAGGAUUUCGGUUCGUGAAACUCUGUUGUUAGGGAAGAAAAAAUGUAUAGUAACUAUAUACAAAAGAGACGGUACCUAACCAGAAAGCCACGGCUAACUACGUGCCAGCAGCCGCGGUAAUACGUAGGUGGCAAGCGUUGUCCGGAAUUAUUGGGCGUAAAGCGCGCGCAGGUGGUUUAGAAAGUCUGAUGUGAAAGCCCACGGCUCAACCGUGGAGGGUCAUUGGAAACUAAUAAACUUGAGUGCAGGAGAGAAAAGUGGAAUUCCUAGUGUAGCGGUGAAAUGCGUAGAGAUUAGGAGGAACACCGGUGGCGAAAGCGGCUUUUUGGCCUGCAACUGACACUGAGGCGCGAAAGCGUGGGGAGCGAACAGG